GAGUUUGAUCCUGGCUCAGAAUCAACGCUGGCGGCGUGCCUAACACAUGCAAGUCGAACGAGAAAGUGGAGCAAUCCAUGAGUACAGUGGCGCACGGGUGAGUAACACGUGACUAACCUACCCUCGAGUGGGGAAUAACUCCGGGAAACCGGGGCUAAUACCGCAUAACAUCGCAAGAUCAAAUGCGUAAGCAGCUUGAGGAGGGGGUCGCGGCUGAUUAGCUAGUUGGUGAGGUAAUGGCUCACCAAGGCUGUGAUCAGUAGCCGGCCUGAGAGGGCGCACGGCCACACUGGAACUGAAACACGGUCCAGACUCCUACGGGAGGCAGCAGUGGGGAAUUUUGCGCAAUGGGGGAAACCCUGACGCAGCAACGCCGCGUGGAGGAUGAAGUCCCUUGGGACGUAAACUCCUUUCGAUCGGGACGAUUAUGACGGUACCGGAAGAAGAAGCCCCGGCUAACUUCGUGCCAGCAGCCGCCGCAGU
rnacentral:rRNA from 1 species